rnacentral:tRNA from 1 species
AGAAAAGUAUUUAAAAUUUAUAAAAUCUAAUUUGCAAUUAGAAAUUGACAACUUUCCUUUUCUG